rnacentral:rRNA from 1 species
GUCUGUAUGUAGAUCUAUACAGUUUAGCCUGCUCACUGAUUAAAAUUAAAGAGCCGCAGUAUUCUGACUGUGCGAAGGUAGCAUAAUAGAUUGUCUUUUAAAUGGAGGCUUGAAUGAACGGUUGGACAAAAUAUCAUCUGUUUCUUAAAUAAAUAUUGAAUUUGACUUUUAAGUGAAAAGGCUUAAAUAAAUCAAAAAGACGAUAAGACCCUAUAAAUCUUUAUAAAAAAUAUAUUUUAAAUUUUAAAUUAAAUGUCUAUAAAAUAUAAAAUAUAUUUUUAUUGUGCUGGGGCGGCAUAGAUAUAUAAAAAACUGUUUAUUAAUUUUAUUCAAUUAUUUUUGUUUAAUAAUAAAUGAUCCUUCAAUAGAUUAGAAGAUUAAGAUACUUUAGGGAUAACAGCGUUAUUUUUUCUGAGAGUUCUUAUCGAAGAAAAAGUUUGCGACCUCGAUGUUGAAUUAAAGUUUCUCUGUGGUGCAGUAGUUACAAGAGAGAGUCUGUUCGACUUUUAAUACUUUACAUGAUUUGAGUUCAGACCGGCGUGAG